rnacentral:rRNA from 1 species
GAUGAACGCUGACAGAAUGCUUAACACAUGCAAGUCAACUUGAACUUCGGUUUGGGUGGCGGACGGGUGAGUAACGCGCAAAGAACUUGCCUCACAGAUAGGGACAACAUUUGGAAACGAAUGCUAAUACCUGAUAUUAUGAUUAUAUGGCAUCGUAUAAUUAUGAAAGCUAUAUGCGCUGUGAGAGAGCUUUGCGUCCCAUUAGCUAGUUGGAGAGGUAACGGCUCACCAAGGCGAUGAUGGGUAGCCGGCCUGAGAGGGUGAUCGGCCACAAGGGGACUGAGACACGGCCCUUACUCCUACGGGAGGCAGCAGUGGGGAAUAUUGGACAAUGGACCAAGAGUCUGAUCCAGCAAUUCUGUGUGCACGAUGAAGUUUUUCGGAAUGUAAAGUGCUUUCAGUUGGGAAGAAAAAAAUGACGGUACCAACAGAAGAAGUGACGGCUAAAUACGUG